ACGGAAGGCAGCAGUGAGGAAUAUUGGUCAAUGGGCGAGAGCCUGAACCAGCCAAGUCGCGUGAGGGAAGACGGCCCUAUGGGUUGUAAACCUCUUUUGGAGGGGAAUAAAGUCAGGGAUGAGUCCCUGUUUGCAAGUACCCUGCGAAUAAGGAUCGGCUAACUCCGUGCCAGCAGCCGCGGUAAUACGGAGGAUCCGAGUGUUAUCCGGAUUUAUUGGGUUUAAAGGGUGCGUAGGCGGGAUGUCAAGUCAGUGGUGAAAUGGUGCGGCUCAACCGUAGCAUUGCCGUUGAAACUGGCGUUCUUGAGUGCGAAUGAGGUGGGCGGAAUGUGUCAUGUAGCGGUGAAAUGCAUAGAUAUGACACAGAACACCGAUUGCGAAGGCAGCUCACUGGGACGCAACUGACGCUGAGGCACGAAAGUGCGGGGAUCGAACAGGAUUAGAUACCCUGGUA
rnacentral:rRNA from 1 species